AUACUCUGCGUCUUUGUCUUUCACUUAGUUAGGGUUUUGUUUGUUUUCGUUAUUCGCCUCUUCUUCUACCUCGUCGUCUCCCUCAACUGUGUCUGCAAACACAAUUUUUUCUUUCAACUCUUCACCUCCCUUAACACCCAACGACAUUCAACGUAUCAUUUAUUUGAUUACCUUUUCACUAAUAUUUAUUUAUUUGAGUCCCUCUUCACCUCCCUAAAUUCCCCCGAUUAAUGUGAUUCUCAUUAAAUCCAAUUAAAUUCUCGACCUCUCUGUUUUUUUUUCUUUUAUCUAUAAAUUGGAGAGAUUGUGAGUGCGAUGAAUCUACACAAUCACUCUCAAUUACUCAGAUUCUUCGAAAAUGUCUUACCCCGAUGUUGUUGUUGCGCAAUCCGCCUUCGAUGUUCUCCGACUCGGAAGAUCUCCCCAGUUCAUUGUUGCUCGCCUGCUUCGGUUUUGGGACUCCAAAAACAUCAAGAAGCAUGGUGAAUUCAUGGGAACAGGGACAAAGAGAUAGCUGAUUUUUUAUUUAUCACUUUCCCUGUAAGAAGGGUGCAUAGGCUGUUGAAGACAAGGUCCACUGCUCACGGAAGGGUCGGAGCAACUGCAGCUGUCUACACCGCAGUGAUACUGGAGUAUCUGACCGCAGAAGUUUUGGAGUUGGCUGGUAACGCCAGCAAGGACCUCAAGGUGAAACGCGUCUCCCCCAAGCACUUGCAGCUUGCGAUUCAUGGAGAUGAAGAGCUCGAUAAUCUCAUCAAAGGAACUAUAGCUGGUUGUGGUGUCAUCCCUCACAUCCACAAGUCUCUCAUCAACAAAUCCGCCAAGGAAUAGAUUUACUACCACUUUGGGAGAGAGUCGUGUGUUUGAUAAAGAAGACGCUAGAGAACUGUUUGUUUAGGAUCUCCGUUUGUUAUUGUUCUACUUCUACCAUCAGCGUACUUGUCUAUUGCAUACGUAUUUGAUGAUUACCUAAACCCUUUUCUGACUA